CAGUCGCCGCGGUAAUACAGAGGAUGCAAGCGUUAUCCGGAAUGAUUGGGCGUAAAGCGUCUGUAGGUGGCUUUUCAAGUCCGCCGUCAAAUCCCAGGGCUCAACCCUGGACAGGCGGUGGAAACUACCAAGCUAGAGUACGGUAGGGGCAGAGGGAAUUUCCGGUGGAGCGGUGAAAUGCGUUGAGAUCGAAAAGAACACCAACGACGAAAGCACUCUGCUGGGUCGACACUGACACUGAGAGACGAAAGCUAGGGGAGCAAAUGGGAUUAGAUACCCCAGUAGUCCCUGUCUCUUAUAC
rnacentral:rRNA from 1 species